rnacentral:rRNA from 1 species
GAUGAACGCUGGCUACAGGCUUAACACAUGCAAGUCGAGGGGAAACGACGGGGAAGCUUGCUUCCCCGGGCGUCGACCGGCGCACGGGUGAGUAACGCGUAUCCAACCUGCCUCUGACUGAGGGAUAACCCGUCGAAAGUCGGCCUAAUACCUCAUGGCAUCGUCUGCGGGCAUCCAACGACGAUUAAAGAUUUCAUCGGUCAGAGAUGGGGAUGCGUCUGAUUAGCUUGUUGGCGGGGUAACGGCCCACCAAGGCGACGAUCAGUAGGGGUUCUGAGAGGAAGGUCCCCCAGAUUGGAACCGGGGCCCGGUCCAAACUCCUACGGGCGGCAGCAGUGAGGAAGAUUGGUCAAUGGACGAGAGCCUGAACCAGCCAAGUCGCGUGCAGGAGGACGGCGCUAUGGGUUGUAAACUGCUUUUAUGCGGGGGUAAAGUGAGGGACGUGUGCUUCAUUGCAGGUACCGCAUGAAUAAGGACCGGCUAAUUCCGUG